GUGCGCCAACACAUUCUUCAUCGCACGCGAGUUCAUGCUUCAGCACUAUCUCAUCCUUUAACCCUUUAGCGCUUUCAUCUUCAACCUUCGGCCUUCAUCCUUCAAUGCAAAAUCAUCAUUCAUCCUUCAACACGAAUUGGAUGAACUUCAUCCAUUUUUCUCGCAUCCUAAUUCUCCGUCACCGCGACUCAAAUUCAUAACCGCUCUGAUGACGGAGGACAACUCCAAUCUCGCCGCCGCCACCAGUGAUUCGUCCAAACCUCCGUCCUCUUUCGUUAAAAAAGUCGACCGUCAAAUUUUCACCGUCGAGCUCCGACAUAGAGAGACCAUAAUAGUAUCGUGGAAGAAACUUGUUAAAGAUGCCAAUAAGGUCAACAAUGGAUCAUUUUCCCCUACCGAGCAACUUCCGAAAUUGAACCCUGCGCUCGACUCGCUCUUGUGAGUUGCGUGAUUUAAUGGCUAUGUUCGAGUAAUGCGUGGUUUACACCGAUUGUUAUUUUUCACUGAUCGUAGCAAAUCGAAGCUUUACCGUUUCGACAAGGAUGGAAAUCAGUGGAAGGAGAGAGGUGUUGGUACUGUUAAGUUCUUGAAACAUAAGGCUACUGGUAAAGUUAGGCUUCUCAUGAGGCAAUCCAAAACCCUCAAGAUAUGCACCAAUCAUCUCAGUAUGUGAUUUCUUCUUUCAUUUUUUGCUAAAUCUUUGUUUUGUAAUUUUGAUUUUGAGAUUUUUAUUGUUCUCUCGAUUAUGUUACACUUUUGGCUACAAUGAAUGUCCAAGAUCAUGCUGGAAUCUUGCGGAUGGCAUGCUAGGGAUUUUGCUGAUGGUGAACUUAAGGAUGAAUUUUUCUGCAUUUGUUUUUCAUCUAUUGAAAGUGCAUAUAUAAAUGAGAGCAAUAGAAGAAGAGUUGUUGGGUGGACCAUAACAUUCAUAUGCUUAGGGGUGUUUGUCUUCACAUAUUCAUGUUUAACUUUUCUUAGGUCAGUCUAAUCUUGAUUCACAUAGCUUUUCUCAAGAUGCACAUGCAAUGAUAAAUUUAUGCAUUUUAUUAGUGUUUUUUAUGUCAUUUAAGAAUUUCUCUCAGUGUUCUAGUUCUUUUCAACAUAAUUUUAUGCUAUUACCAAUUCUGUUCACUUCACAUUGUGUGGAGUCGGAGGCACUCUUCUUGUGUUUGAAUUCAUCUUUCUAACUUGUAUAGAUCAAGAUGAUGCAAGACACAAAUUUGGUCAGUCUGGAGGUUUCACAUGCCCAUUUGUGCCACUGCUGCGCAUGCCUACACCAACUUGCAUUCCCAUCAAUUCCUACUUACUUAUUAAUCUUGGUAGACAAUGAAAUCUUUGGCCAGAGACGGUGAAUAAUAGUAAUAAUUCAAGUGAUUUGGUUGUGUAGAUUCAUAUGAAUCUUUUUGUGUUAAUCCUGAUUAUUAAUAUUAUUACUAUCUUUUAUGUAUACUCAGAUUUGUUAUUUGUUUGUGUUUUCAUGUUAAGUAUAAUGUAUUGGGUCGAGGCAUGUUCAAAUCGAUUAUGUCUAUAAUUACAUUAGUGUUUUUGUUCUA